rnacentral:rRNA from 1 species
CCUACGGGGGGCAGCAGUGGGGAAUAUUGCACAAUGGGCGCAAGCCUGAUGCAGCCAUACCGCGUGUGUGAAGAAGGCCUUCGGGUUGUAAAGCACUUUCAGCGGGGAGGAAGGCGUUAAGGUUAAUAACCUUGUCGAUUGACGUUACCCGCAGAAGAAGCACCGGCUAACUCCGUGCCAGCAGCCGCGGUAAUAUGGAGGGUGCAAGCGUUAAUCGGAAUUACUGGGCGUAAAGCGCACGCAGGCGGUCUGUCAAGUCGGAUGUGAAAUCCCCGGGCUCAACCUGGGAACUGCAUUCGAAACUGGCAGGCUAGAGUCUUGUAGAGGGGGGUAGAAUUCCAGGUGUAGCGGUGAAAUGCGUAGAGACCUGGAGGAAUACCGGUGGCGAAGGCGGCCCCCUGGACAAAGACUGACGCUCAGGUGCGAAAGCGUGGGGAGCAAACAGGAUUAGAUACCCUGGUAGUC